AGUGAACGCUGGCGGUAGGCCUAACACAUGCAAGUCGAACGGCAGCACAGUAAGAGCUUGCUCUUACGGGUGGCGAGUGGCGGACGGGUGAGGAAUACAUCGGAAUCUACUUUUUCGUGGGGGAUAACGUAGGGAAACUUACGCUAAUACCGCAUACGACCUACGGGUGAAAGCAGUGGAUCUUCGGACCUUGCGCGAUUGAAUGAGCCGAUGUCGGAUUAGCUAGUUGGCGGGGUAAAGGCCCACCAAGGCGACGAUCCGUAGCUGGUCUGAGAGGAUGAUCAGCCACACUGGAACUGAGACACGGUCCAGACUCCUACGGGAGGCAGCAGUGGGGAAUAUUGGACAAUGGGCGCAAGCCUGAUCCAGCCAUACCGCGUGGGUGAAGAAGGACUUCGGGUUGUAAAGCCCUUUUGUUGGGAAAGAAAAGCAGCAGGUUAAUACCCCGCUGUUCUGACGGUACCCAAAGAAUAAGCACCGGCUAACUUCGUG
rnacentral:rRNA from 1 species